rnacentral:rRNA from 1 species
CCUACGGGAGGCAGCAGUGAGGAAUAUUGGUCAAUGGGCGAGAGCCUGAACCAGCCAAGUCGCGUGAAGGAUGACGGCCCUACGGGUUGUAAACUUCUUUUGUCAGGGAGCAAUUGAGUCCACGUGUGGGCUUAGCGAGAGUACCUGAAGAAAAAGCAUCGGCUAACUCCGUGCCAGCAGCCGCGGUAAUACGGAGGAUGCGAGCGUUAUCCGGUUUUAUUGGGUUUAAGGGGUGCGUAGGCGGAAUAUCAAGUCAGCGGUAAAAAUUCGGGGCUAAACCCCGUCGUGCCGUUGAAACUGAUGUUCUGGAGUGGGCGAGAAGUAGGCGGAAUGCGUGGUGUAGCGGUGAAAUGCAUAGAUAUCACGCAGAACUCCGAUUGCGAAGGCAGCAUACCGGCGCCCAACUGACGCUGAAGCACGAAAGCGUGGGUAUCGAACAGGAUUAGAUACCCGAGUAGUC